CUGAAAAAGCAGCUAACCUUACAUUCUUCUCUCUUCUUCAUUUGCCGAGUCUAUCCUGCCAAGUCUUUUUGCAGGAGAAGAACAUUUCUUUCUGACCCCCAGAGAGAUCAACAGAUGCCUUCAAGCGGGGACAAUGCAAAAGCGCACUGACACGCAGGCUGAGCAGCUCCGAAACUUAUCGAGUGUGUCCUUCCUGCCUCCAACCCUGUCGCCUGUCAUCCCUUCUUGUCACCAGGCUCCUGUUCAUUUGCUCGCUGCUCACACUAAUCUAGAAGAUGAUCAAAGGAAAAGGUCCACCGACUCACCCCUGCCUGGUCCAGCACGGGGAUUGGUCAAGCAUAUGAAAUGGGGUGAUUUGACUUUGUACAGUUCCUCCUAGGAUGGGGCCAGAGAGAAGCAACUGGAAAACUGACUCCACCUUGCCAAAGAAGAACAGAUUUUGGAUUCUUUGGUAUAUAUAUAAAAAAAUCAAUUCUCUGUGCCCCCCCUUCCGAGCCACCAUUCGCCAUUCCCGUACCCACUGAUGCCUUCUCUCCUUUUCUAUACCAUUUCCAAGAAGACCUGUCCCUGAAGAACCAGCCCCAUUCUGACUUGCCAGUUGGAAACAAACAAAAAGUGAUUAUAAAUGAAAAUAAGUUAU